rnacentral:rRNA from 2 species
GUGCAAUGGCAUAAGCCAGCUUGACUGCGAGCGUGACGGCGCGAGCAGGUGCGAAAGCAGGUCAUAGUGAUCCGGUGGUUCUGAAUGGAAGGGCCAUCGCUCAACGGAUAAAAGGUACUCCGGGGAUAACAGGCUGAUACCGCCCAAGAGUUCAUAUCGACGGCGGUGUUUGGCACCUCGAUGUCGGCUCAUCACAUCCUGGGGCUGAAGUAGGUCCCAAGGGUAUGGCUGUUCGCCAUUUAAAGUGGUACGCGAGCUGGGUUUAGAACGUCGUGAGACAGUUCGGUCCCUAUCUGCCGUGGGCGCUGGAGAACUGAGGGGGGCUGCUCCUAGUACGAGAGGACCGGAGUGGACGCAUCACUGGUGUUCGGGUUGUCAUGCCAAUGGCACUGCCCGGUAGCUAAAUGCGGAAGAGAUAAGUGCUGAAAGCAUCUAAGCACGAAACUUGCCCCGAGAUGAGUUCUCCCUGAGACUUUAGGUCUCCUGAAGGAACGUUGAAGACGACGACGUUGAUAGGCCGGGUGUGUAAGCGCAGCGAUGCGUUGAGCUAACCGGUACUAAUGAACCGUGAGGCUUAACCUUACA